rnacentral:rRNA from 1 species
GUCUUUUUGAGUUAUUUUAAAAGUCUAACCUGCCCACUGAAUAAAUUUUUAAAUGGCCGCAGUAUUCUAACUGUGCAAAGGUAGCAUAAUCAUUAGUCUUUUAAUUGAAGGCUGGUAUGAAUGGUUGGACGAAGUAUAAGCUGUUUCAUAUAAAAUUAUAUUAGAAUUUUAUUUUUUAGUAAAAAAGCUAAAAUUUUAUUAAAAGACGAGAAGACCCUAUAAAUCUUUAUAUUUAAUUUUAUAUAAAUUUUUUUGAUUUAUUUUAUUUUUAUAUUUUUAAAUAUUUUGUUGGGGUGAUGUUAAAAUUUAAAAAACUUUUAAUAAAUAAAAAUCAUUAAUUUAUGAAUUAUUGAUCCAUUAUUAGUGAUUAAAAAAUCAAGUUACUUUAGGGAUAACAGCGUAAUUUUUUUUGAGAGUUCAUAUCGACAAAAAAGUUUGCGACCUCGAUGUUGGAUUAAGAUAAAUUUUUAGGUGUAGCCGUUUAAAUAUNAAGUCUGUUCGACUUUUAAAUUCUU